CACAAAACUACGACUGCAAUCUUCAUAAGAGAUCAUUCUCUUACCGUGUGUGUCUGUGUGUGUGUGUGUGUGUGUGUGGAGGCAUUACUGCAGAGGAUGGUCUUGAGGUCCACUACUGCAGAAGGUUUUGUGGCCACUACUGCAGAAGGUUUUGUGGCCACUACUGCAGAAGGUUUUGUGGCCACUACUGCAGAAGGUUUUGUGGCCACUACUGCAGAAGGUUUUGUGGCCACUACUGCAGAAGGUUUUGUGGCCACUACUGCAGAAGGGUGUGGAGUCCCAGAAGAACAGCCAAGAGGGAGAGA
rnacentral:lncRNA from 1 species